rnacentral:misc_RNA from 1 species
GAUGAAGAACGCAGCGAAAUGCGAUAAGUAAUGCGAAUUGCAGAAUUCCAGUGAAUCAUCGAAUCUUUGAACGCACAUUGCGCCCCUUGGUAUUCCAUUGGGCAUGCCUGUUCGAGCGUCAUUUAACCCUUCAAGCUCACGCUUGGUGUUGGGCGUCUGUCCGCGCUUUCGGGCGUGGACUCGCCCCAAAUCCAUUGGCAGCGGCUCCGCCGGCUUCUCGCGCAGCACUUUGCGCUCAGGAAGACCUUCGGCGGGCUUGCGUCCAUCAAGUCACCCCUCAUUUUGACCUCGAAUCAGGUAGGGAUACCCGCUGAACUUAAGCAUAUCAAUAAGCGGAGGA